rnacentral:rRNA from 1 species
AUUGAACGCCGGCGGCAUGCUUUACACAUGCAAGUCGAACGGCAGCGCGGGCUUCGGCCUGGCGGCGAGUGGCGAACGGGUGAGUAAUGCAUCGGAACGUGCCCAGUAGUGGGGGAUAGCCCGGCGAAAGCCGGAUUAAUACCGCAUACGACCUGAGGGUGAAAGCGGGGGACCGAAAGGCCUCGCGCUAUUGGAGCGGCCGAUGUCGGAUUAGCUAGUUGGUGGGGUAAAGGCUUACCAAGGCGAUGAUCCGUAGCUGGUCUGAGAGGACGACCAGCCACACUGGGACUGAGACACGGCCCAGACUCCUACGGGAGGCAGCAGUGGGGAAUUUUGGACAAUGGGGGCAACCCUGAUCCAGCCAUGCCGCGUGCGGGAAGAAGGCCUUCGGGUUGUAAACCGCUUUUGUUCGGGAAGAAAUCCUCUGGGCUAAUACCCCGGGGGGAUGACGGUACCGGAAGAAUAAGCACCGGCUAACUACGUG